rnacentral:tRNA from 1 species
AGCGGGGUAGCCAAGUGGUAAGGCAGCGGUCUCAUACGCCGCCCACCGCCGGUUCGAAUCCGGCCUCCGCAACCA